CAAGUCGUACGCGAACGACCUUUCGGGGUUAAGUAGAGUGGCGAACGGGUUAGUAACGCGUGGGAACAUACACAGCACAGGGGGAUAACCAUUGGAAACGAUGGCUAAUACCGCAUACGCCCUAUUGGGGAAAGAUUUAUCGGUGUUGGAUUGGCCCGCGUUAGAUUAGCUAGUUGGUGGGGUAAUGGCUCACCAAGGCGACGAUUUAUAGCUGGUUUGAGAGGAUGAUCAGCAACACUGGAACUGAGACACGGUCCAGACUCCUACGGGAGGCAGCAGUCGGGAAUAUUGUGCAAUGGGGGCAACCCUGACACAGCCAUGCCGCGUGAGUGAAGAAGGCCUUAGGGUUGUAAAGCUCUUUCAGAUGUGAGGAUGAUGACCAUAGCAUCAGAAGAAGCUCCGGCUAACUUCGUGCCAGCAGCCGCGGUAU
rnacentral:rRNA from 1 species